GUCUGCAGCCAUGCCACACUGAACAAGCCCGAUUCCAUAUGAUCUCAGAAGCUAAGCAGGGUCAGGCCUGGUUAGUACUUGGAUGGGAGACCACCUAAGAAGAUCAGGUGCAGUAGGUG
rnacentral:rRNA from 1 species